GGCAUUGAAAUAAUCAAGAGAACGCUGAAAAUCCCAGCAAUGACUAUUGCAAAGAAUGCAGGUGUUGAAGGAUCAUUAAUAGUUGAAAAAAUCCUGCAGAGUCCAUCAGAAGUUGGCUAUGAUGCAAUGCUUGGGGACUUUGUAAAUAUGGUAGAAAAAGGAAUCAUAGACCCAACGAAGGUUGUGAGAACUGCUCUGGUGGAUGCUGCGGGCGUUGCCUCUCUCCUGUCGACAGCAGAAGCAGUGGUGACUGAAAUUCCCAAAGAAGAGAAGGAGCCAGCAAUGGGAGGCAUGGGUGGGAUGGGUGGAGGGAUGGGAGGUGGCAUGUUCUAAUUCCUGGGAGGGGGACACAUCAUGAGCUGUGCUGUGGAAGACUGACAGUUCUGACUUCAAAAACUUGGGACGUCAGCGGAAGGGGGCGGAUAGUGACUGAAGUGAGGCUGGUGUUUAAAAGAAUCACUGUAACCAUCAGUUACUGGAUUUCAUUUAACACGUGUAAUUGUUUACAGUCAUUGUCCAUGCCUACAGAUAAUUUAUUUUGUAUUUUUUGAAUAAAGACAUUUGUACAUUCCUGAUAACUGGGUGCAAGAUCCAUCUGCCAAGGUCCCGGUUUAAACAUGAGGCACUCGAUACCCUGUUCAGAAUCAUUGGUGCUUGCCAGUACUAGGAAGAACUUGGAAGCCACUGUGCGUGAGACUAGACAAUUGUGUACCAAGUAGGCAAACAAACAGUUAUGUGACCUUUAUGUAAUAAAAAACUGCUCCAAAGUUAUUAAAUGUAUCACCUUAUUCAUCUGCACACAAAGCCAUAGUCAGAGAACCCUGACAGCCUCCUGCUGCUGCUUCUAACAUUUACCACAGAUCUGACACUGAGAGCUUGGAAAGGACAGGGCAUUUCCCUCCAGGAAACAUUCCUUUGCCUAGGAUGUUUCUCAAGUGACUACAUUUUGCUAAGCAAUAUCGAAGCUGAACUAGUUCUUUGAAAUAUUAAACAAUGCUAUGAAAA